CACAAACCUCCUAACGAGCAGCUGAGGGCAGGGUGGGGAUUCCAGAGAGAGACAAAUCUAUGUCCCUCAGGAGAUCUGGUGCAAACCGAUCGGUAGAAGAAGUAUUUCGCUGCUAAUUAAGUUUUGAACCUUUGGCUUCACUUAAAACAGUUUGAGAGUAUAUCAAGUUGGAGAGCAGGUGCUGACUGGCUUGAAAGCACUGGUCCAUCAAAUCAGAUUGCUGCAAAUUCAUUGACCAAAAAAACCAAGGAGGCAUCAGAAGCUAAUAUUGGUGAUGAGGAUAAAAGCAGAAACUCAGCAACAAAUACUUGGCCUGUUUGAGUGAGAGAUUUGCAACUUUCCCCAGCUUGAAAGAAGAAAAUGCAGAAAGAGUUAACAAGACAUGUUGGAUGUGGAAAAUGACUGCUCCCAAAUGAGACGUUUUGGUCCUGUGAAGAGGUAGGAGUAGCAGAGAACAUGAAUCACUUGACUAAUCUGUACAAAAUGGGCUUAGUGAGCUUCUGCUUCAAAUCUUAUCCCCACAUUAGAUAGCAUUAAACCAGUUGUC
rnacentral:lncRNA from 1 species